GACGAACGCUGGCGGCGUGCUUAACACAUGCAAGUCGAACGGAAAGGCCCUGCUUUUGUGGGGUGCUCGAGUGGCGAACGGGUGAGUAACACGUGAGUAACCUGCCCUUGACUUUGGGAUAACUUCAGGAAACUGGGGCUAAUACCGGAUAGGAGCUCCUGCUGCAUGGUGGGGGUUGGAAAGUUUCGGCGGUUGGGGUUGGACUCGCGGCUUAUCAGCUUGUUGGUGGGGUAGUGGCUUACCAAGGCUUUGACGGGUAGCCGGCCUGAGAGGGUGACCGGCCACAUUGGGACUGAGAUGAGGCCCAGACUCGUACGGGAGGGAGAAGGGGGAAAUAUUGCACAAUGGGCGGAAGCCUGAUGCGGCAACGCCGCGUGCGGGAUGACGUCCUUCGGGUGGUAAACCGCUUUCGCGUGUGACGAAGCGGGAGUGACGGUAAUGGAUAAAGAAGCACCGGCUAACUACGUG
rnacentral:rRNA from 1 species